AUUGAACGCUGGCGGCAUGCCUUACACAUGCAAGUCGAACGGUAACAGGUUAAGCUGCCGCGUGGCGAACGGGUGAGUAAUGUAUCGGAACGUGCCCAGUCGUGGGGGAUAACUGCUCGAAAGAGCAGCUAAUACCGCAUACGACCUGAGGGUGAAAGCGGGGGAUCGCAAGACCUCGCGCGAUUGGAGCGGCCGAUAUCAGAUUAGGUAGUUGGUGAGGUAAAGGCUCACCAAGCCGACGAUCUGUAGCUGGUCUGAGAGGCAGACCAGCCACACUGGGACUGAGACACGGCCCAGACUCCUACGGGAGGCAGCAGUGGGGAAUUUUGGACAAUGGGCGCAAGCCUGAUCCAGCCAUGCCGCGUGCGGGAAGAAGGCCUUCGGGUUGUAAAACGCUUUUGUCAGGGAAGAAAAGGUUCUGGCUAAUACCUGGGACUCAUGACGGUACCUGAAGAAUAAGCACCGGCUAACUACGUG
rnacentral:rRNA from 1 species